GAUCAAUGUGCGGGAACAAAAACUGUCACAUGACCACAAAUGCGAACGACCACGGCUAUUUUUCGGAUAAAACGUCAAUCGAAGAUGGAUCGCUCAGACCCACAUAUAUGCCGCUAUUGUGGCAACGUACUUAAAAGCAAGUCGUCUCUGCGCCAGCAUGAGAUUAGUCACACAGGGACUGGGAAGGGAUAUACAUGCUGCGAUAAAGUGUUCUUCAGCAAGGCGAAUCUGAACAGGCACAGAUGCCAUGUACAUGGCGAAGAGAAGGCAUUCGUGUGUACCAAGUGCAGUUAGUCAUUUCCUACAAAUGCUGACCUGCAGAAGCACAUGCGGCGGGAAAAUGGGCAGACAAUUGCGUGUGAUAAAUGUGGCGUACGUUUUGCUGAGAAUUCCAAUUUAAAGGCACACAUAGAUAUGCACAACGAAGAACAUAACUUGAAAUGCUUGAAGUGUGACAAAGUAUUCCGGCAUCGAAGUAGCCUGUCUCGUCACAUGAAAGUACACAGCAGUAAUUAAGCGACGCCAAGUGUACAGUUCGCCAAUCAUGCAUUUGUAUUGUGCUGUCCGUGAAGUGAUUAUGUGUAGUUACAUACAUUUUAUACAUGGUCCUUUUACCCGUCCAAACACAGUUUGUGUGGUAUAUUGGAGUUUGUUGUGUAUUAAAAUGAAACUUUUUAAAUGAGUUUUAUAAUAUAUACAAUACUUCGUUUUGGUGUAUGUCAUGCUAUUUAUUGCAGAGUUGUCCCCUCUCACUUAGGUAAAUUCUCUUGUUUUACCUUGUUCACGAUACCUGCAUCAUUGUACAUGCGAACUUAACAACAAACAAUUAUGUGCAUCAAACUGAAACUUCAUAGUUCUGUUGUUCAUACUUUGUAUAAGUACAAGACGUAAUUUUUGUGGAUGCAACACUAUUUUAUAGGGACAAAUUUUCGGCUUAUACAGUUUUAAAAAAUAUUAAAAUUAUUGCUUAAAACGUAGAUAUCUUGUUGAUAGUCACUUAGUAGCAUAUAUAUUUCAAUAAUUAUACAUAGUUUUCAAUGGGAUAUUUUAGCGACUGCGGCAACAUUGUAGAAGCUUAUAGUAAUAUAAUGUACAUGGAAAUACCUCCAAGCCGGUAGAUACCGGACUUGUAAAUAUACUUUGAUGUGAUGCAAUCGGAUUCCAUAAGUGUGAGUUUUAAUCAAACAGAGGACGUGUUGGUUAAUCAAUAUUUUAGCUGUUAUAAUUUUUAACGAUUCAAUCAACAUAGUAUUGCUUUUUGUGGUAUAUACCUUACAAUCAUUGUAUUUUAUAUAUGUAUUUAUAGAGGGGUAACCGUCGAUAUGUCCAUUUAUUCAGAGUAAUGCUCCAUGAAACUAGGCGACUAAAUUCGAAUAUCUACGUCUAAAAUCUAAUCUUUGUGUGUGAUCAAUGUGUACUCGGAACACAAUUUUGGCAUCAACAUUGUUUUUCACCUGCUUGAAAGAAGCCAUUUCGUGGGUAUUUUUCAUCUUCAUUUACGAGUUGUUUGCUGUUUUUCUAGUGACAUAGUAUUUGUUAUAAAUUGGUGCUUGUGAUAAAUCAUUUAUAAAGACCUUGUUCUGUAGUUCAUGUUUCGUUUGUAAAUGUUUUUUUAUGCGUUAACGAUAAAGAUGUUGUAGAUUAAUUAAAAUAGUUUAUACAAUUUGUUAUGCUCAUUUGAAGUAUAAAUGAGUCACACGAUACAGAAACCUGAUUAAUACAGAUAUUAUAUAAACAAUUCUAGUCAAAAGUUUCAACACAAUUUGAUUGAUGGUUUGCUUUUGUAUUAUAUAAAUGCAUACUUGAUGUUCCAUAUGGCGAAGUCAUUAAUGUGAUGAUUUAUGACUAUUUACACUCAGUGCUAUUAUUUUUAUGUUCUGUGAUAAUGUGUUCAGGAAAACAUAAGUAUACAUUUUAGACUGACAGUUUUAUGUUUGCAAAUAUCCGCACUGUGAUCUUUGUCUUUGAUUAUUUUUUUAUAAUAAAUUGUUAAUCAGA